AUAGCUCACUAGUCGAGUGACACUGCGCCGAAAAUGUACCGGGGCUAAACAUAUUACCGAAGCUGUGGAUUGUCCUUUGGACAAUGGUAGGAGAGCGUUCUAAGGGCGUUGAAGCAUGAUCGUAAGGACAUGUGGAGCGCUUAGAAGUGAGAAUGCCGGUGUGAGUAGCGAAAGACGGGUGAGAAUCCCGUCCACCGAUUGACUAAGGUUUCCAGAGGAAGGCUCGUCCGCUCUGGGUUAGUCGGGUCCUAAGCUGAGGCCGACAGGCGUAGGCGAUGGAUAACAGGUUGAUAUUCCUGUACCACCUAUAAUCGUUUUAAUCGAUGGGGGGACGCAGUAGGAUAGGCGAAGCGUGCGAUUGGAUUGCACGUCUAAGCAGUAAGGCUGAGUAUUAGGCAAAUCCGGUACUCGUUAAGGCUGAGCUGUGAUGGGGAGAAGACAUUGAGUCUUCGAGUCGUUGAUUUCACACUGCCGAGAAAAGCCUCUAGAUAGAAAAUAGGUGCCCGUACCGCAAACCGACACAGGUAGUCAAGAUGAGAAUUCUAAGGUGAGCGAGCGAACUCUCGUUAAGGAACUCGGCAAAAUGACCCCGUAACUUCGGGAGAAGGGGUGCUCUUUAGGGUUAACGCCCAGAAGAGCCGCAGUGAAUAGGCCCAAGCGACUGUUUAUCAAAAACACAGGUCUCUGCUAAACCGUAAGGUGAUGUAUAGGGGCUGACGCCUGCCCGGUGCUGGAAGGUUAAGAGGAGUGGUUAGCUUCUGCGAAGCUACGAAUCGAAGCCCCAGUAAACGGCGGCCGUAACUAUAACGGUCCUAAGGUAGCGAAAUUCCUUGUCGGGUAAGUUCCGACCCGCACGAAAGGCGUAACGAUUUGGGCACUGUCUCAACGAGAGACUCGGUGAAAUCAUAGUACCUGUGAAGAUGCAGGUUACCCGCGACAGGACGGAAAGACCCCGUGGAGCUUUACUGUAGCCUGAUAUUGAAAUUCGGCACAGCUUGUACAGGAUAGGUAGGAGCCUUUGAAACGUGAGCGCUAGCUUACGUGGAGGCGCUGGUGGGAUACUACCCUAGCUGUGUUGGCUUUCUAACCCGCACCACUUAUCGUGGUGGGAGACAGUGUCAAGCGGGCAGUUUGACUGGGGCGGUCGCCUCCUAAAAGGUAACGGAGGCGCUCAAAGGUUCCCUCAGAAUGGUUGGAAAUCAUUCAUAGAGUGUAAAGGCAUAAGGGAGCUUGACUGCGAGACCUACAAGUCGAGCAGGGUCGAAAGACGGACUUAGUGAUCCGGUGGUUCCGCAUGGAAGGGCCAUCGCUCAACGGAUAAAAGCUACCCCGGGGAUAACAGGCUUAUCUCCCCCAAGAGUUCACAUCGACGGGGAGGUUUGGCACCUCGAUGUCGGCUCAUCGCAUCCUGGGGCUGUAGUCGGUCCCAAGGGUUGGGCUGUUCGCCCAUUAAAGCGGUACGCGAGCUGGGUUCAGAACGUCGUGAGACAGUUCGGUCCCUAUCCGUCGUGGGCGUAGGAAAUUUGAGAGGAGCUGUCCUUAGUACGAGAGGACCGGGAUGGACAUACCUCUGGUGUACCAGUUGUCGUGCCAACGGCAUAGCUGGGUAGCUAUGUGUGGACGGGAUAAGUGCUGAAAGCAUCUAAGCAUGAAGCCCCCCUCAAGAUGAGAUUUCCCAACUUCGGUUAUAAGAUCCCUCAAAGAUGAUGAGGUUAAUAGGUUCGAGGUGGAAGCAUGGUGACAUGUGGAGCUGACGAAUACUAAUCGAUCGAAGACUUAAUCAA
rnacentral:rRNA from 1 species